CCUACGGGAGGCAGCAGUGAGGAAUAUUGGACAAUGGGCGCAAGCCUGAUCCAGCCAUGCCGCGUGCAGGAAGAAGCAUCUAUGGUGUGUAAACUGCUUUUGUACAGGAAGAAACACUCCCUCGUGAGGGAGCUUGACGGUACUGUAAGAAUAAGGACCGGCUAACUCCGUGCCAGCAGCCGCGGUAAUACGGAGGGUCCGAGCGUUAUCCGGAAUCAUUGGGUUUAAAGGGUCCGUAGGCGGUUUAAUAAGUCAGUGGUGAAAUCUGGUCGCUCAACGAUCAAACGGCCAUUGAUACUGUUAGACUUGAAUUAUAAGGAAGUAACUAGAAUAUGUAGUGUAGCGGUGAAAUGCUUAGAUAUUACAUGGAAUACCAAUUGCGAAGGCAGGUUACUACUUAUGGAUUGACGCUGAUGGACGAAAGCGUGGGGAGCGAACAGGAUUAGAUACCCUGGUAGUCCACGCCGUAAACGAUGGAUACUAGCUGUUCGGAGCAAUCUGAGUGGCUAAGCGAAAGUGAUAAGUAUCCCCACCUCGGAGGUACGUUCGCGAGAAGUAGUAAACGUUAAAGUUAAGUAAGUUAGUACGGCGUGAGACGUACGACCGACGGACGACGACGAGGGAGGGAGGG
rnacentral:rRNA from 1 species